rnacentral:rRNA from 1 species
AAUCGUCGGGGAGUAUAACUGUUMANAGGAGAAGUUUUNUAUNAAGAGUGNGAGUGAUGAGAUCCCUACUCUAAUUAUAUWUAGKGUAUGAGUAUACUCAACUAGGGUUAGGGUUACCCCCGUUUCAUGUGUAUGUUACAAUACUCACUAGCNGGUGKUAUAAAUUAAUUUGAAAAUCCUCNUAUGCCUAAAUAUUCGAGUCAAUUUAUGAGUUAAUCAGUAAUUAUAAUAGUAUAAAUCUAUCUCGAGCCYAGNCCAACUGUUUAUUAAAAACAUUUCUGCUUUUGUGUAUAAGCAGUACGACCUGCCCGGUGUGGUAUUAACGGCCGCAGUAUUAUGACUGUGCGAAGGUAGCAUAAUUAAUUGCCCCAUAAUUGGGGGCUUGUYUGAAUGGUUUYAUGUGAUUAGAGMUAAGAUUUAUUAUUUUUUGAAGUUAAUUUUGUGGGUAAAGAAUCCCCAAUAGUAAGUAAGACGGAAAGACCCCAGGAUCUUUUAUUUUGUCUGGGGCAGAUUACAUUAUUUUAAUGUGUUUGGGACCCUUAGAUUAGAGAGUUAAGUUACCCUGGGGAUAACAGAGUAAUAGUUUAUUAGAGAUCAWAUCGAUUAGACUGUUUGCU